rnacentral:RNase_P_RNA from 1 species
CUGGCCAAGCGCGAUGGUCGCGGACAGCAGUUGUCCGAGGAAAGUCCGAGCUCCAACGGGUAGACUGCCAGGUAACCCCUGGGCGCCGAGAGGCGACGGAUAGGGCAACAGAGAACAGACCGCCUCGAGGAACCCGGAGCUUAGCGAUGGGGACCGAGGGGUAAGGGUGAAACGGUGGGGUAAGAGCCCACCGCACCGCUGGCAACAGCGGCGGCAUGGCAACCCCCAGUCGGAGCAAGGCCAAAUAGGCGGCGAGGUGUGACCCACACCGCAAGCACCGGAGCUCUCGGGCCGAGGUGAGCCGCGGGUAGGCCGCUAGAGGUGGCCGGCGACGGCCAUCCCAGACAGAUGACCAUCCCUCCGGGCGCAAGCGCGGAGGAACAAAACUCGGCUUACGGCUCGACCAGUGGC